UGAUCUGAAAUCAGGUAGGGCUACCCGCUGAACUUAA
rnacentral:rRNA from 1 species